rnacentral:rRNA from 1 species
GAUGAACGCUGGCGGCAUGCUUUACACAUGCAAGUCGAACGGUAACAGGCCGCAAGGUGCUGACGAGUGGCGAACGGGUGAGUAAUAUAUCGGAACGUGCCCUAGAGUGGGGGAUAACGUAGCGAAAGUUACGCUAAUACCGCAUACGAUCUAAGGAUGAAAGUGGGGGAUCGCAAGACCUCAUGCUCGUGGAGCGGCCGAUAUCUGAUUAGCUAGUUGGUAGGGUAAAAGCCUACCAAGGCUACGAUCAGUAGCUGGUCUGAGAGGACGACCAGACACACUGGAACUGAGACACGGUCCAGACUCCUACGGGAGGCAGCAGUGGGGAAUUUUCCGCAAUGGGCGAAAGCCUGACGGAGCAAUCUCGCGUGGGGGAUGACGGCCUAUGGGUUGUAAACCUCUUUUUUCAGGGAGGAACAAAAUGACGUGUACCUGAAGAAUAAGCAUCGGCUAACUCCGUG